rnacentral:rRNA from 1 species
ACACGAAGCUGGAAUCGCUAGUAAUCGCGAAUCAGAAUGUCGCGGUGAAUACGUUCCCGGGUCUGUACACACCGCCCGUCACACCAUGGGAGUCGGGAAUGCCCGAAGUCAGUGACCCAACCUAUUGGAGGGAGCUGCCGAAGGCAGGUCUGAUAACUGGGGUGAAGUCGUAACAAGGUAUC